rnacentral:rRNA from 1 species
AUUGAACGCUGGCGGCAUGCUUUACACAUGCAAGUCGGACGAGUGGCGGACGGGUGAGUAAUGCUUGGGAAUCUGGCUUAUGGAGGGGGAUAACGACGGGAAACUGUCGCUAAUACCGCGUACCAUAGGAUGAGCCCAAGUGGGAUUAGGUAGUUGGUGGGGUAAUGGCCUACCAAGCCGACGAUCUCUAGCUGGUCUGAGAGGAUGACCAGCCACACCGGGACUGAGACACGGCCCGGACUCCUACGGGAGGCAGCAGUGGGGAAUUUUGGACAAUGGGCGCAAGCCUGAUGCAGCCAUGCCGCGUGUCUGAAGAAGGCCUUCGGGUUGUAAAGGACUUUUGUCAGGGAAGCGGUACCUGAAGAAUAAGCACCGGCUAACUACGUGCCAGCAGCCGCGGUAAUUC